rnacentral:rRNA from 1 species
UACAGAGGUCUCAAGCGUUGUUCGGAUUCAUUGGGCGUAAAGGGUGUGUAGGUGGCGCCGUAAGUCGGGUGUGAAAUUUCGGAGCUUAACUCCGAAACUGCAUUCGAUACUGCGGUGCUUGAGGACUGGAGAGGAGACUGGAAUUCAUGGUGUAGCAGUGAAAUGCGUAGAGAUCAUGAGGAAGACCAGUGGCGAAGGCGGGUCUCUGGACAGUUCCUGACGCUGGGGCACGAAGGUCAGGGGAGCAAACAGG